AGUGAACGCUGGCGGUAGGCCUAACACAUGCAAGUCGAACGGCAGCACAGUAAGAGCUGGCUCUUACGGGUGGCGAGUGGCGGACGGGGGAGGAAUACAUCGGAAUCUACUUUUUCGGGGGGGAUAACGUAGGGAAACUUACGCUAAUACCGCAUACGACCUACGGGUGAAAGCAGGGGAUCUUCGGACCUUGCGCGAUUGAAUGAGCCGAUGUCGGAUUAGCUAGUUGGCGGGGUAAAGGCGAACCAAGGCGACGAUCCGUAGCUGGUCUGAGGGGAUGAUCCGCUACCUUGGAACUGAGACACGGUCCAGACUCCUACGGGAGGCAGCAGUGGAGAAUAUUGGACAAUGGGGGCAAGCCUGAUCCAGCCAUACCGCGUGGGUGAAGAAGGCCUUCGGGUUGGAAAGCCCUUUUGUUGGGAAAGAAAAGCAGCAGGUUAAUCCCCCGCUGUUCUGACGGUACCCAAAGAAUAAGCACCGGCUAACUUCGUG
rnacentral:rRNA from 1 species